AAUCUGUUCGAUCUUCAUCUUCAUCCCCUGAAUCGGAAAAUCGUACUCGAAACAAUUUUCUCGACAAAACAACUGUAAAGGGAAGAAAAUUCCAAGCCAGUCGCUGUCCGCUGUAAUCCAGUCUCUCUCUCUUUGGCGCUAAUUAAAUAGCAGAUCUGAAGCGCACGCCAUUGAAGUUUCAAUCUUCUCUUUACGAGAUUCCUCCGCAUAUUCUGCCACGGCAAGCUUCAGGUUCCGCCAUUUGAGAUCUGCUUCGACUUCAGUGGCAGAAUCUUCAAGUUGAAAAGAACAUAUAUCGAGUCUAAUGGCUGUGAGGAGACCUGGAGUCAUUGCUUUAUUUGAUGUUGAUGGGACUCUAACAGCUCCUAGAAAGGUUGCUACUCCAGAGAUGUUGAAAUUUAUGGGGGAGCUCCGAAUGAUUGUUACAGUUGGUGUUGUGGGAGGAUCUGACCUUUCAAAGAUUUCAGAACAGCUUGGAAACUCAGUUAUUCAUGACUAUGAUUAUGUGUUCUCUGAGAAUGGACUUGUGGCACAUAAAGAUGGGAACCUCAUUGGCACCCAGAGCUUGAGAUCACAUCUUGGGGAAGAAAAUCUCAAGAAUUUUAUCAACUUUACACUUCAUUAUAUUGCCGACUUGGAUAUCCCUAUAAAAAGGGGAACGUUUAUAGAGUUCCGAAAUGGGAUGCUUAAUGUCUCACCAAUUGGGCGAAACUGCAGCCAAGAAGAAAGAGAUGAAUUUGAGAAGUAUGAUAAGGUUCAGAAUAUACGUCCAAAAAUGGUUUCUAUCCUCCGGGAGAAAUUUUCCCAUCUUAAUUUGACAUUCUCCAUAGGAGGGCAGAUAAGCUUUGAUGUCUUCCCUCAAGGUUGGGACAAGACAUAUUGCCUGAGGUACCUUGAAGAUUUUAAAGAAAUCCACUUCUUUGGCGAUAAAACUUACAAGGGAGGAAAUGAUCAUGAAAUUUAUGAAUCUGAACGAACCGUGGGCCACAAAGUUACUAGCCCCGACGACACCGUGGAGCAAUGUCGAGCCAUAUUUUUCUAAAAAAAUCCAAGAGCCGAAGCAUAAAAUGUCCAAUUUUAUCUAUAUUGAUAUUUCAAUAGAGAUGACUGAAUUCUGUAUAGUUUCCCAAGAAGCUGAAUUAUAGUACACCAAUCCCAGCUACGAUUAUAGGAGAUGGAUGGUCAUUGAGGAGGAAGUCGAGCCAUCCAAGAGAGCAUUGUGGAAGGCGUGGAGGGAAAUCUUUGAACCGUGAAUCUGAUCGAUGGAGUAGGACGCGAAGAAUCGACGCGGUUUCUUCAGCACCACGACGAAGCGGGAGGAACGGUGCGUGGCGAUUAUCGUGAACAGCAACGGGGAGAGAUUGAUGUCGGCGUCGUCGGCGAUUUGAGUGAGGAGGGAGGUGGCGUUCAGAAAAGGAGCAAUGUGAUCAAGCCUGAUCAAGAUCAUGGUGUUCUUGGAGAAUAUUGAUGUGUGGAAAUGGAGAGAAAAAAAUGAAAAGAGGGACGAAAUUUUUGUUUAAACAAGUCUCUCCCAAUCGAAGUAACUUGUUUUAUAGUGUUGGAGCUCUUUUGUUCUGGUACAGAUUAUAUUAAAUUUGGUAUA